rnacentral:rRNA from 1 species
ACGCACGCUGGCGGCGUGCUUAACACAUGCAAGUCGAACGGAAAGGCCCUGCUUGCAGGGUCCUCGAGUGGCGAACGGGUGAGUAACACGUGGGUGAUCUGCCCUGCACUUCGGGAUAAGCUUGGGAAACUGGGUCUAAUACCGGAUAGGAACCAUCUUUAGUGUGGUGGUUGGAAAGUUUUUUCGGUGUAGGAUGAGCUCGCGGCCUAUCAGCUUGUUGGUGGGGUAAUGGCCUACCAAGGCGGCGACGGGUAGCCGGCCUGAGAGGGUGUACGGCCACAUUGGGACUGAGAUACGGCCCAGACUCCUACGGGAGGCAGCAGUGGGGAAUAUUGCACAAUGGGCGCAAGCCUGAUGCAGCGACGCCGCGUGGGGGAUGAAGGCCUUCGGGUUGUAAACUCCUUUCGCUAGGGACGAAGCUUUUUGUGACGGUACCUAGAUAAGAAGCACCGGCUAACUACGUG